GAGGUGAGUAACACGUGGGUGAUCUGCCCUGCACUUCGGGAUAAGCUUGGGAAACUGGGUCUAAUACCGGAUAGGAGCCAUCUUUAGUGUGGUGGUUGGAAAGUUUUUUCGGUGUGGGAUGAGCUCGCGGCCUAUCAGCUUGUUGGUGGGGUAAUGGCCUACCAAGGCGUCGACGGGUAGCCGGCCUGAGAGGGUGUACGGCCACAUUGGGACUGAGAUACGGCCCAG
rnacentral:rRNA from 1 species